ACAGCCUCCAAAGAUAGUCAAAAAAAAGACAAAAAAAAAAGAAAAUGGUAAGAAAAGUUUGCUGGUCUGAUAAUUUUUUGGUUUUAAUACUUUUUUUGUUGCCAACAGUUUUUUACAAAUAUUU
rnacentral:ribozyme from 1 species